CCACUCCUACCCACCUUCUUCCCCCUCCCCGCACUCAAAUCCUAGCCGGCGGCUAGCCACCAGUGUCGCCCAUCUUCCUCCCCCGCUGCCUUUACCUUCCCUCCCCUUCCCCCACCUCCACCCGCCACCACCUUCCGCCGCGAGGCACCCCACCCCACAACAUCCAGACCCCCUCCUCCCGCAGCGUCGGCCACCGCCUCCCACCACACCGACCUCCAAUCUGCCCCGCCCCCGCGCCAGACACGGCUGCAGAAGCACCGGCCCCGUGCUGCCCCCUGGUCGACCAUCUCGACGACCAGCGACUCCAUGCUCCCCUCCAAGGACCGACGCCUCCGUCCUGCCUCCUCCCCAGCUGGCCCGCUGGAUGGCUGGCGCCGCCCGGCCACCGCCUCCCACCCCUCCGCCCGGCCACCGCCUACUGCGCCCACGACCACCACCACCCCACCGCACGACGCUGUUCUAGCCAUCUUCCUCCCCGCCGCCACUCUGGAUCCGGCAGUCACUGCGUUUCUCGUGUCGGAUCCAGCCGCCGUUCAGCCAGAUCUGCCGCCCGGCGUGCUACACCGGACACGCGCGGCGGUGGCGCUGGUACUGCGCGGGCGGUGGAGAGGGAGGAACACCACCUCGACGCCGCUGCCCCUGCCAUCUCCCGGCCUCGUCGACCAUCCCCUCGCCUCGUUCUGCGUCACCGUUGAGGAACAUGCAGUACGGCGCAGGCAGUUCGGCCAUUGUGGCAGUGCAGCUCGGAGGCGCGCGUAAUGCCAUUCAGUGCUCGCGUGGGUGCAGCCUUGGGCGAUCUCUUUGCAAGCGGAUGCAAAAAUCGUCAUCGCGGCUUGCAAAAAUGCAGUUCGGGCGGCUCCACGGCCAGCCCCAUCACAUCCAGCUAGCACGUGCAGUGCGGACGGACGGCGAGCACGUGCCGUGCGGUGCGGAUGGCGAGCACGUGCAGUCCGGUGGGCGCGUGCGUGCAGCGCGCUGAGUGUGGGCGUCGGAUCAACGCCGCCCCCUAUGCAGGAUCCCACGGACAGCGUCGGAUCUCGCGAGAUCGAACUUCUCUGCUCUGACAUGGCUGUCUCUCGUCCACCCAGUCUAUCGAGGCGAGCUUGCUCCGACGAGAUCCUUUUCGUCUAUGAUCCCCGCCGUCCAUCCUCUCCCCUCGACGGCCUCCUGCAAGCACGGCUGGGUCGACGCCCGCCCGUCCAGCGCCUCCUUCUUCUGCCCCGCGAUGAGGUCAAUGGCCUCUGCGCACAUGGGGCAGUCCGCUGGUGCACACCAUGUGGUCCACAGGUACGACGUCGUGAUACGCCCCGGAGCUCCCCUGUCGGGUUGAACGAGUUACAGAGGAGGCUUCACUUGCCUCGAGCGGUUUAGAUGUAAAAAUGCAGCAGUUCUGAACCCCGUGUUCCAUAUUUUCAGAAGCAGAGGCAGAGGAAGUGGAGUUCCUGCGGCCAUUUUAGUACUUGUUUUUUGCUACUUGGUGCUUUGCCGCAGUUCGGCUGAGUCGACAAUGUAGUUCUUUUUUGGAAAUCAUUUGCAGUGCGCUUGGUAACAAAAGAGAAGCAUCUCAAGUUUCAUUUUGUUGUUUGGAGGAACGCACUGCAUUGAUAUUUUGUUUUUGGAAAAAGACAGAAAACUUAAUGCAAUUCGUUAGCAUCGACUA